rnacentral:rRNA from 1 species
AUUGAACGCUGGCGGCAGGCCUAACACAUGCAAGUCGAGCGAGCGGCGGACGGGUGAGUAAUGUCUGGGAAACUGCCUGAUGGAGGGGGAAAACGACUGGAAAAGGUAGCUAAUACCGCAUACCAUCAGAUGUGCCCAGAUGGGAUUAGCUAGUAGGUGGGGUAACGGCUCACCUAGGCGGCGAUCCCUAGCUGGUCUGAGAGGGUGACCGGCCACACUGGAGCUGAGACACGGUCCGUACUCCUCCGGUAGGCAGCAGUGGGGAAUAUUGCACAAUGGGCGCGAGCCUGAUGCAGCCAUGCCGCGUGUGUGAAGGAGGCCUUCGGGUUGUAAAGCACUUCCAGCGGGGAGGCGUUACCCGCAGAAGAAGCACCGGCUAACUCCGUGCCAGCAGCCGCGGUAAUUC